rnacentral:rRNA from 1 species
UGAGUAACGCGUGGAUAAUCUACCCUUAAGAUGGGGAUAACGGCUGGAAACGGUCGCUAAUACCGAAUACGCUCCCGAUUCUAUCGUUGGGGGGAAAGAUGGCCUCUGCUUGCAAGCUAUCGCUUAAGGAUGAGUCCGCGUCCCAUUAGCUAGUUGGCGGGGUAACGGCCCACCAAGGCAACGAUGGGUAGCCGGUCUGAGAGGAUGACCGGCCACACUGGAACUGGAACACGGUCCAG